AUACGUAGGUGGCAAGCGUUGUCCGGAUUUAUUGGGCGUAAAGCGAGCGCAGACGGUUUCUUAAGUCUGAUGUGAAAGCCCCCGGCUCAACCGGGGAGGGUCAUUGGAAACUGGGAGACUUGAGUGCAGAAGAGGAGAGUGGAAUUCCAUGUGUAGCGGUGAAAUGCGCAGAUAUCGGGAAGAACACCGAUGGCGAAGGCAGCCUGCUGGGCCGCAACUGACGCUGAGGCGCGAAAGCGUGGGGAGCAAACAGGAUUAGAUACCCUGGUAGUCCACGCCGUAAACGAUGAGUGCUAAGUGUUGGAGGGUUUCCGCCCUUCAGUGCUGCAGCUAACGCAUUAAGCACUCCGCCUGGGGAGUACGACCGCAAGGUUGAA
rnacentral:rRNA from 1 species